GUGGCUUCUUUCUAAUUUUAGAUCAAAAACUCUGAAUGGUUUUUGUGAUGGAAAGAAGCCUAAAUAGAUUUGCUAUCCUUUGCUUCAAUUUGAUUUCGCUUUGGGACGUCCCCUAAAUUA